AGGGAAAUAGCUCAGUGGUGGAGCCUAUGCUUAGGAUGCACAAGGUCCUGGGUUCAAUCCCCAGUACCUCCA
rnacentral:tRNA from 1 species